GGUUUAGCUCAGUUGGUUAGAGCGUGGUGCUAGUAACAGCAGGGUCGCAGGUUCGAUCCCUGCAGGGGCCA